GGACGGNUGAGUAAUGCCUAGGAAAUUGCCUUGAUGUGGGGGAUAACCAUUGGAAACGAUGGCUAAUACCGCAUAAUGCCUACGGGCCAAAGAGGGGGACCUUCGGGCCUCUCGCGUCAAGAUAUGCCUAGGUGGGAUUAGCUAGUUGGUGAGGUAAUGGCUCACCAAGGCGACGAUCCCUAGCUGGUCUGAGAGGAUGAUCAGCCACACUGGAACUGAGACACGGUCCAGACUCCUACGGGAGGCAGCAGUGGGGAAUAUUGCACAAUGGGCGCAAGCCUGAUGCANCCAUGCCGCGUGUAUGAAGAAGGCCUUCGGGUUGUAAAGUACUUUCAGUUGUGAGGAAGGGGGUGUCGUUAAUAGCGGNAUNUCUUGACGUUAGCAACAGAAGAAGCACCGGCUAACUCCGUGCCAGCAGCCGCGGUAAUACGGAGGGUGCGAGCGUUAAUCGGAAUUACUGGGCGUAAAGCGCAUGCAGGUGGNUCAUUAAGUCAGAUGNGAAAGCCCGGGGCUCAACCUCGGAACUGCAUUUGAAANCUGGUGAACUAGAGUACUGUAGAGGGGGGUANAAUUUCNGGUGUANCGGUGAANUGCGUAGAGAUCUGAAGGA
rnacentral:rRNA from 1 species